GGAUGUGGGAACAUUCUGGUUGUGACCUGUCACCCCACUGAUGACCAGGUUGACUUAAGCUCAUCAGACUGGUUAGACUGCUGGCCCCUUCCUCCCUCACACUCCAGUGUCCCUCACAAAGCUUCAUACUCAUUCAAAGAGGACCAUCUUCCCCCACAGAUACCUAGCCCUCUUUCUUCAAU
rnacentral:snRNA from 1 species